UACAGAGACUGCAAGCGUAUUCGGAUUCACUGGGCGUAAAGGGCGCGUAGGCGGUGCAUUUGGUCAGGCGUGAAAUUCCUGGGCUUAACCUGGGGACUGCGCUUGAGACGGGUGUGCUGGAGGGCAGGAGAGGCUCGCGGAAUUCCCAGUGUAGAGGUGAAAUUCGUAGAUAUGGGGAGGAACACCGGUGGCGAAGGCGGCCAUCUGGACGGUAACUGACGCUGAGACGCGAAAGCGUGGGUAGCAAACAGG
rnacentral:rRNA from 1 species